UACGUAGGCAGCGAGCGUUGUUCGGAGUUACUGGGCGUAAAGGGUGUGUAGGCGGUUGUUUAAGUUUGGUGUGAAAUCUCCCGGCUCAACUGGGAGGGUGCGCCGAAUACUGAAUGACUUGGAGUGCGGGAGAGGAGAGUGGAAUUCCUGGUGUAGCGGUGAAAUGCGUAGAUAUCAGGAGGAACACCGGUGGUGUAGACGGCUCUCUGGGCCGAUACCGACGCUGAGGAGCGAAAGCGUGGGGAGCGAACAGG
rnacentral:rRNA from 1 species